rnacentral:lncRNA from 10 species
UGACCACCUCAAGCCAUUUAAGUGGUAUUCAUCAUAACAGAAAAGAUGUUACCUGCAGAUUCCACCUUAUACAAAACAGGCACAUAAUUAUCAUACACUAGACACUAAUUCCUGGAAGCUUUUUUUUUUUCCAGGAAGAAAAUUAUAAAUGAAUGGUGAGACAUAGAGACCAUCAAUUCCUGUAUUUGCUGUUACCUUUGUACAUUAAGAAGAUUCCAAAGCCCCUGGCAAUGGUCUCUUUAAAAAAAUCAUAAUCAAAUAAAAUGAAGAAUUUGGACAUUCUCUUGACUGUUGCAGGAGAUGAAUGUCAUCUGUCUGAAUGCAACAUGGAAACUUCAGUGAAUGUGUUAGAACAGAACUCGUAUGAGAGCAUCAGCCAGAAACACAAUGGAUUAGUGUUCUGUUUCAUUCCCAUGGAUGUCAUGCACAGCACCCCUCUUCAUCUCACAUUCCUGGGGAUGCUGGCUUCUCUAACAAGAGGCUGAGUUUCCCUGGGUUUCUGUAAGGACCUGAACACCUCCAGUAGCAAUCCGUGCCCUUUGCUUGUGACUCCAGAGCUCCCAGAUAGAAGUGGUUGGAUGGAGCCAGGAACAGCAGAGAACUCCGGCCGAGGGGUGACCCACCAGCAUCGUUCCACCAGCCUCCAGCGAUGGUGGGUGUGGACUUGAACUUCCAACUUCAGUCUAGGCCAAGGGGAGGGCAGUGAGAGGUUCGCAUACCCAUCAUCCCUUCCAUGCCCAUAAAGGUUCCUAAAAUAUCAUUCGUUAGCCCCAAACUGUAUGAGACCCUCCCUCCUAGUGUUCCCCUGUGCAACUGUCACAACAUGAUUAAUCUAAUUUGCAGUAUUAUUUGUUUGCUUGUCUUAUCUCCCUGCUCUCUACAUUCUUAUGUUAUGUAAGUACCUUGAGGUCAGGGACAUCUCUAGAUGAUCUUUGUACAAGUCAUUACAUGAAGAAAAUGCUCAAUAAAUAUUUGUGUUU